GAGUUUGAUCCUGGCUCACGAUGAACGCUAGCGACGGGCUUAACACAUGCAAGUCGAGGGGCAGCGGGGGUGCAGGCUUGCCUGCGCCUGCCGGCGACCGGCGCACGGGUGAGUAACACGUAUGGAACCUGCCCGCCACAGGGGGAUAACCCGGGGAAACCCGGCCUAAUACCCCAUGCCGUCCGGACCGGGCAUCCGGUCCGGGCGAAAGGAGGAAUCCGGUGGCGGCUGGGCAUGCGGCGCAUUAGCUUGACGGCGGGGUAACGGCCCACCGUGGCGACGAUGCGUAGGGGUUCGGAGAGGAAGGCCCCCCACACUGGAACUGAGACACGGUCCAGACUCCUACGGGAGGCAGCAGCGAGGAAUAUUGGUCAAUGGGCGGAAGCCUGAACCAGCCAAGUCGCGUGAGGGAAUAAGGCCCUACGGGUCGUAAACCUCUUUUGCCGGGGAGCAAGGGCCGGGACGCGUCCCGGCCCGGAGAGUACCCGGAGAAAAAGCAUCGGCUAACUCCGUGCCAGCAGCCGCGGUAAUACGGAGGAUGCGAGCGUUAUCCGGAUUUAUUGGGUUUAAAGGGUGCGUAGGCGGGCUUUUAAGUCAGCGGUAAAAAUUCGGGGCUCAACCCCGUCCGGCCGUUGAAACUGGGGGCCUUGAGUGGGCGAGAAGAAGGCGGAAUGCGUGGUGUAGCGGUGAAAUGCAUAGAUAUCACGCAGAACCCCGAUUGCGAAGGCAGCCUUCCGGCGCCCUACUGACGCUGAGGCACGAAAGUGCGGGGAUCGAACAGGAUUAGAUACCCUGGUAGUCCGCACAGUAAACGAUGGAUGCCAGCUGUCCGGGCCGAAUGGGGCCUGGGUGGCAAAGCGAAAGCGUUAAGCAUCCCACCUGGGGAGUACGCCGGCAACGGUGAAACUCAAAGGAAUUGACGGGGGCCCGCACAAGCGGAGGAACAUGUGGUUUAAUUCGAUGAUACGCGAGGAACCUUACCCGGGCUCAAACGCGUCAGGGAUCCCCUCUGAAAGGAGGGGAGUCAGCAAUGACCUGGCGCGAGGUGCUGCAUGGUUGUCGUCAGCUCGUGCCGUGAGGUGUCGGCUUAAGUGCCAUAACGAGCGCAACCCCUACCGAUAGUUGCUAACUGGUGAAGCAGAGGACUCUGUCGGGACUGCCGGCGCAAGCUGCGAGGAAGGCGGGGAUGACGUCAAAUCAGCACGGCCCUUACGUCCGGGGCGACACACGUGUUACAAUGGCAGGUACAGCGGGAGGCCACCGGGCGACCGGGCGCGGAACCCGAAAACCUGUCUCAGUUCGGAUCGGAGUCUGCAACCCGACUCCGUGAAGCUGGAUUCGCUAGUAAUCGCGCAUCAGCCACGGCGCGGUGAAUACGUUCCCGGGCCUUGUACACACCGCCCGUCAAGCCAUGGGAGCCGGGGGUGCCUGAAGUCCGUGACCGCAAGGGGCGGCCUAGGGUAAAACCGGUGACUGGGGCUAAGUCGUAACAAGGU
rnacentral:rRNA from 1 species